GACGAACGCUGGCGGCGUGCUUAACACAUGCAAGUCGAACGGAAAGGCCCGGCUUUUGUGCGGUGGUCGAGGGGCGGACGGGUGAGUAACACGUGAGUAACCUGUCCCUCACUGUGGGAGAACUUCAGGAAACUGGGGCUAAUAGCGGAUAGGAUCUCCUGCUGCAUGGUGGGGGUUGGAAAGUUUCGGCGGUUGGUGAUGGACUCGCGGCUUAUGAGCUUGUUGGUGGGGUAGUGGCUUACCAAGGCUUUGACGGGUAGCCGGCCUGAGCGGGUGACCGGCGCCAUUGCGACUGAGAUGAGGCCCAGCCUCGUCCGCGAGGCAACGGAGCGGAAUGUUGCACUGUGGGCGGAAGGGUGAUCUAGCACCGCCGCGUGGGGUAUGACGGGAUUCGGGUUGUGAACCGAUUUCGCCUGAGCCGAAGCGUGAGUGACGGUACUGGGUAAAGAAGCACCGGCUAACUCCGUG
rnacentral:rRNA from 1 species